rnacentral:ncRNA from 1 species
UAGGUCGGCGUCGGUGAUCCCUUUGGUAUGCCGAUUGCCCAUAUUAUGGCGUCAGGUAUGGGAGGUAUCCGGACCGCCGGAGAUCUGGUGGCCUGGAUGC